rnacentral:snoRNA from 1 species
UUGGCCCUGAAUCAAGGCCAGUAGUUUGCUGAAGCUGUUGGUUUCAAGCAGGAGCCUAAAGAAAUGUCUUUCUAUGAUCUGUUGGCCAUUUCAGAACUUUGGAACUGUGUCAAUUCAUUGGAAAGAAACAUGU